GGAACAUCGAUAAGCUAAACAAAAUUCCAUUGAAAUCUGAAAACAGUGGAUCGGAAAUUCGAAUCGUCAUCUUUUGAUUCCUAAGUUCC